GUUCUGUGAUGAGUUCUGCUUCUGGUCCGUGUUUAUGAAAAUACAUGAUUUCAGUAGAAGUUCUGAUUUG